rnacentral:rRNA from 1 species
AGAGUUUGAUCCUGGCUCAGGAUGAACGCUAGCGAUAGGCUUAACACAUGCAAGUCGAGGGGCAUCACGAAUUAGCAAUAGUUUGGUGGCGACCGGCGCACGGGUGCGUAACACGUAUACAACCUACCUUCAAUUGGGGGAUAACCUGGAGAAAUUCGGACUAAUAUCCCAUAGUAAACGGAAGAGGCAUCUUUUUUGUUUUAAAGAUUUAUUGAUUGGAGAUGGGUAUGCGUAGGAUUAGCUAGUUGGUAAGGUAACGGCUUACCAAGGCGACGAUCCUUAGGGGUUCUGAGAGGAAGGUCCCCCACACUGGUACUGAGACACGGACCAGACUCCUACGGGAGGCAGCAGUGAGGAAUAUUGGUCAAUGGGCGAGAGCCUGAACCAGCCAAGUCGCGUGAAGGAUGACGGCCCUAUGGGUUGUAAACUUCUUUUGCAGGGGAAUAAAGAUAUUCACGUGUGGGUAGUUGUAUGUACCCUGCGAAUAAGCAUCGGCUAACUCCGUGCCAGCAGCCGCGGUAAUACGGAGGAUGCAAGCGUUAUCCGGAUUUAUUGGGUUUAAAGGGUGCGUAGGCGGUAUUACAAGUCAGGGGUGAAAUCUUGGUGCUUAACAUUAAAAUUGCCUUUGAAACUGUGGUACUUGAGUGUAAAAGAGGUAGGCGGAAUGUGUUGUGUAGCGGUGAAAUGCAUAGAUAUAACACAGAACCCCGAUUGCGAAGGCAGCUUACUAUCAUACAACUGACGCUGAUGCACGAAAGCGUGGGGAGCAAACAGGAUUAGAUACCCUGGUAGUCCACGCAGUAAACGAUGAUUACUAGCUGUUAGCGAUAUACUGUUAGUGGCUAAGCGAAAGCGAUAAGUAAUCCACCUGGGGAGUACGUUCGCAAGAAUGAAACUCAAAGGAAUUGACGGGGGCCCGCACAAGCGGAGGAACAUGUGGUUUAAUUCGAUGAUACGCGAGGAACCUUACCCGGGCUUGAAAUGCUAUCGACCGACGGAGAGAUUCGUUAUCCAGCAAUGGCGAUAGUGUAGGUGCUGCAUGGUUGUCGUCAGCUCGUGCCGUGAGGUGUCGGCUUAA